rnacentral:rRNA from 1 species
UCCCCUCUACCAUCUUUUUUUAUCUUAUCACACCUUCUCUCCCGCUCUACCUACCACCUAACUUCUUCCUCCUCNUUNNCNUGGGCCAUCGCGUCUAACAGCAGGUGAAAGGAAGCACACCAGAGCUUGCUCUGGGNGACGAGUGGCGGACGGGUGAGUAAUGUCUGGGAAACUGCCUGAUGGAGGGGGAUAACUACUGGAAACGGUAGCUAAUACCGCAUAAUGUCGCAAGACCAAAGAGGGGGACCUUCGGGCCUCUUGCCAUCAGAUGUGCCCAGAUGGGAUUAGCUAGUAGGUGGGGCAACGGCUCACCUAGGCGACGAUCCCUAGCUGGUCUGAGAGGAUGACCAGCCCCACUGGAACUGAGACACGGUCCAGACUCCUACGGGAGGCAUCAUUGGGCAAUAUUGCACAAUGAGCGCAAGCCUGAUGCACCCCUGCCCGCGUGUAUUAAUACAGGCCUUCGAGGUUGUAAAGGUCUUUUCACUCGGGAUAGAAAGGAUGUUGUGGGUUAAUAUACCCCGAGCAACUUGACGUUUACCCCCUCAAAAAAAAGCUCCCUGUUAAACUCCCCCUGCCCUAACUUCUCUGCGGAAAUAACUCGAGGGGCGGCUUGCCGAUUAAUUCCAAAAAUUAUUGGGGUCCGAAAAACCACCCCCUCCUCGUUCUCCUCGUUCACACACCAAAUGUGAUAAAACCCCCCGGGGCUUCCACCCUGUGGGAAACCUGUAUUUUCACAUAACAUGGCGGGGCUUGAAAAUUCCUUUUGAUGACGAGGGGGGAAAAAAAUCUUCCGCGGCUCUAUCCCCUGAAAACUGUC